CCAAUAGCGUAUAUUAAAGUUGCUGCAGUUAAAAAGCUCGUAGUUGAAUUUCGGGACUAAUAUGUCGGUCGUGCUUAGGUACGUACUAGCAUUGUUGGUUUCUCCCUUCUGACGAACCAUGAUGUCAUUUAUUUGGUGUUGUGGGAAAUCAGGACUGUUACUUUGAAAAAAUUAGAGUGUUUAAAGCAGGCUCACGCUUGAAUACAUUAGCAUGGAAUAAUGAAAUAGGACGUUUGAUUCUAUUUUGUUGGUUUCUAGGAUCGACGUAAUGAUUAAUAGGGAUAGUUGGGGGCAUUAGUAUUCAAUUGUCAGAGGUGAAAUUCUUGGAUUUAUUGAAGACUAACUACUGCGAAAGCAUUUGCCAAGGAUGUUUUCAUUAAUCAAGAACGAAAGUUAGGGGAUCGAAGACGAUCAGAUACCGUCGUAGUCUUAACCAUAAACUAUGCCGACUAGGAAUCAGACGAUGUUAAUUUUUUAAUGACUCGUUUGGCACCUUACG
rnacentral:rRNA from 1 species